UGGGGAAUCUUGGACAAUGGGGGCAACCCUGAUCCAGCCAUGCCGCGUGAGUGAUGAAGGCCUUAGGGUCGUAAAGCUCUUUCGCCUGUGAAGAUAAUGACGGUAGCAGGUAAAGAAACCCCGGCUAACUCCGUGCCAGCAGCCGCGGUAAUACGGAGGGGGUUAGCGUUGUUCGGAAUUACUGGGCGUAAAGCGCACGUAGGCGGACCAGAAAGUUGGGGGUGAAAUCCCGGGGGCUCAACCCCGGAACUGCCUCCAAAACUAUUGGUCUAGAGUUCGAGAGAGGUGAGUGGAAUUCCAAGUGUAGAGGUGAAAUUCGUAGAUAUUUGGAGGAACACCAGUGGCGAAGGCGGCUCACUGGCUCGAUACUGACGCUGAGGUGCGAAAGUGUGGGGAGCAAACAGGAUUAGAUACCCUGGUAGUCCACGCCGUAAAACGAUGUCUACUAGCCGUUGGGGUACUUGAGACCUUAGUGGCGCAGCUAACGCACUAAGUAGACCGCCU
rnacentral:rRNA from 1 species